UAAUGGGCCAGUUGUUCAAAGGUAAGCUGAUCGGAUUUUGGUUAUCGGAUUGGAUUAAAUCUUGAAAAUGGGUUGUUCAAAAGGGAAAGAAGGAAUCUGAAAUCAGAUUAGAUCAGGGAAUCCAAUCCUAGUUUUAAUCUGGAUCAAACCUUCAGUUUGUGUUGUUCAAAACUUGUCAGUGGGAUUUGGAUAACUUUGAUCCAAAAAACAGGAUUAUCCUGAUCCCAACAGGGGGUAGGAUUUCAAGGUGGAUUUCAGGAAGAAAAUGUAGUAAAACUUUAAAAUUGGUCAAAUAAUACAUUUGUAUCAUUUAUGUAUGUACUUUUAUUUAUAUUUUGCACUUGACUUGUGUAACCGUUGUAACAGUGAUAAAGUAGACAUGGGCUAACAAUUAAGCUAUUCAGUAUAGUAAAGUAAAAAUAAAAUAAAAAUUA